CGCCAGGGAUGAGCUGCUUCGAUUUUCUGACACCUCGUAUGAGAGCUGCUUUCAGCUCCUGAUUAUGAGCGUGGGCUGAGGCUU
ensembl:snoRNA